ACUUUUAAAAAUUCAGCGAACGAGGACGUAACGGCAGGUACCCGUUACUGCUGAGAAAUCGUCGGGCAGCCUGCGUCAUAUCGAGUUGGUCCCGCGUCCGUCCACAUGCUACCGCUGUCCAUUGCGCUUCCAAUUGUAUCUUUAAUUAAACACAGACAAACAUCCUAAAUAUUGUGUCUUUCGAGCGUCCAAAAGGAAAGCAUCCAUACCACGCGAGAGGAAAUCUGACCCCGGAAUAUCGAAUCGCUAACGACAAAAUCUAUUGUGGAGAGUAUAAAGCGAAUUAUAAAUAAAAAAAAAUAAUAAUUUACUCACCUUGGCGCGUUUAGCUGGCCUGAGCGGCAGAGGGCUGAGGAUACAACAAGGACUGUCGAACGCGUCGAACGUGAUCGCCCUCUUGGCGUUGGGCUUCCGUUGUACGGACACAAAGUCGUAGGAAGUCUGGAAAGGAUAGACACACUAGCUACAGCCGGCGAUUAAAAGAAAACGCGCUUAGAAAAUGAUUCGUUUCGAAACGAACAAGAUAAUCGUUCUUUUCAAUUUUAAAGUUCGUUUGACUAGCCAGAACAAAAUUUCUGUAUCGAACACGUUUUAAGAGUUCGCGAUAGAAAAAUAGAGGGGAUGUAGAGUAGUAAGAGAAAGGGAGACAGAAAGGACACGAUUAGAGAAACAGCGAAUAAUUACUGGGAGUCUUACUCGAACAAUUUUAUUGUUCGUCCUUUUCUUAAUACGCGUUUUUUUCACUGGGAUACGUUAUGCACUCGUGGAUGAACUAUACACCACGUUUCACAUAUCGUGGAGUGACUAGGCCUUUUGUAUCGUUUCCUCUUUUUUCUUCGCAUCGGUUGCGAGUCAGACUUUAAAGAGAUUCGUCUCGUCACGACCGCCACACGAAAUUGUUUCUUUGGGCUUGUGGGCUUCCUCGGGAUAGGACUUAGGGUAGAGAUGAUGAUGAUGAUGAUGCUGGUGGGACUUCAAGGGAUGGUGCUUUGGUACGCUAGGCCAGGCCUCUGUACAAAGGCAUUCUUUCUUUUCUUUUCGUUCAAGUUAGUUUGUAAACAUGCGGCAAUUCAACGUUAUUACCAAAGGAAUAAAGAGUAUAUAUAUAUAUAUAAAAUAUGUAUAUAUAUAUUAAUAUAAUAAUAAAUAGACGCUAUAUUUUUAUAUAUAUAUCUAUGUAUAUAUAUAUUAUGUAUAAUCGUGCGGGAUGCGAUUCGAGGGAAUCGAUCAAAGGACGAAGGAGCCACGAUAAGACGAUACAUACAUUCCGGAACACAUGAUUAACGCGUUUCAUGCCGCGUGGAUCACCGGUAAUCCGUACCUUUCGUUUAGUACUUGAAACAACGAAGUGUUACUCAAGGCAGCGAGAGUAAAACUGUAAACACUUCAAGUAAUAUGAUGAGAACAAUGACUUUGAUAAUAUUGAA